GCCGGGCAUGGUGGCGGGUGCCUGUAAUCCCAACUGCCAGUGAGGCUGAGGCAGGAGAAUUGCUUGAGCCCGGGAGGCAGAGGUUGCAGUGAGCUGAGAUCCAGGCACUGCAUUCCAGCCUGGGCAACAGAGCGAGACUCUGUCUCAA
rnacentral:SRP_RNA from 1 species